rnacentral:rRNA from 1 species
GCUUACGGCCAUACCACCCUGAGAACGCCCGAUCUCGGAAGCUAAGCAGGGUCGGGCCUGGUUAGUACUUGGAUGGGAGGCCGCCUGGGAAUACCAGGUGCUGUAAGCU